UUGAUCCUGGCUCAGGACGAACGCUGGCGGCGUGCCUAAUACAUGCAAGUCGAGCGAAUCUUUGGGAGCUUGCUCCCAWUGGUUAGCGGCGGACGGGUGAGUAACACGUGGGCAACCUGCCUGUAAGACUGGGAUAACACCGGGAAACCGGUGCUAAUACCGGAUAAUCCAUUUCCUCUCAUGAGGGAAUGCUGAAAGACGGUUUCGGCUGUCACUUACAGAUGGGCCCGCGGCGCAUUAGCUAGUUGGUGAGGUAACGGCUCACCAAGGCGACGAUGCGUAGCCGACCUGAGAGGGUGAUCGGCCACACUGGGACUGAGACACGGCCCAGACUCCUACGGGAGGCAGCAGUAGGGAAUCUUCCACAAUGGACGAAAGUCUGAUGGAGCAACGCCGCGUGAGCGAUGAAGGCCUUCGGGU
rnacentral:rRNA from 1 species